rnacentral:piRNA from 1 species
UAGCACAGCGGCCUGUCUAUCAUGAUGG